rnacentral:rRNA from 1 species
UACGGAGGGUGCAAGCGUUAUCCGGAUUCACUGGGUUUAAAGGGUGCGUAGGUGGGUUGGUAAGUCAGUGGUGAAAUCUCCGUGCUUAACAUGGAAACUGCCAUUGAUACUACUGAUCUUGAAUUUUCUGGAGGUAAGCGGAAUAUGUCAUGUAGCGGUGAAAUGCUUAGAUAUGACAUAGAACACCAAUUGCGAAGGCAGCUCGGUACAGGGAUAUUGACACUGAGGCACGAAAGCGUGGGGAUCAAACAGG